rnacentral:rRNA from 2 species
UUUUGAUUAAUAAUUUAAAGUCUAAUCUGCCCACUGAUAAUAUAUUAAAGGGCUGCAGUAUUUUGACUGUACAAAGGUAGCAUAAUCAUUAGUCUCUUAAUUGGUGACUUGUAUGAAAGAUUUGAUGAAAUAUAUACUGUCUCUAAUUAAUUUAUAAAAUUUAAUUUUUUAGUUAAAAAGCUAAAAUAAAUUUAAAAGACGAGAAGACCCUAUAGAGUUUAAUAUUUAUAUAAAUUGAGAUUUUAUAUAAGAAUUAUAAUUUUAAUAAUAUAUAAAUAUUUUGUUGGGGUGAUAAAAAAAUUAAAAUAACUUUUUUUAUAUUUUUACAUUUAUAAAUGAAUAAAUGAUCCAUAAUUUAUGAUUAUAAGAAAAAAUUACCUUAGGGAUAACAGCGUAAUUUUUUUUUUUAGUUCAAAUAAGAAAAAGAGUUUGCGACCUCGAUGUUGGAUUAAGAUAAAAUUUAAAUGCAAAAGUUUAAAAUUUUUGAUCUG